GCCCCUGUUGUGUCCCCACUGCUGUUUCCAGGGUCUUGUGCCAUUUUGCAAGCUAAUGUCUGGGUGACCUGGCCACACUCCUCCGAUAUUCGCUGAGUCCCAAGGUGAGGUGAGGGCUCAGGGUCAGAGAAACCCCAGGCACAGAGCCCGUGGUCGCUGUCCCCAUCGUGAGCCUGCGCCGGGUCCUGGGUCUGGGCCUGCUGGGGCAGGGGUGAGGCAGGUGCUCACCGGGAUGGGACAGGGGUGGCGGGAACAGGCAGCCUUCUCUGGCCAGAUCUGUGGGAACUGGGUGGUCAGAAGCCCGAGGAGCAGAGGUCAGGCAGGCAGGGCCUCUGAGCUCUGACCUGAGUCUAGAAAAACCUUCAGGGAGAGGUCAGCUCAGAGCCUCAGGCCUUCAUCGCUGGGGACGCCUGUGGGAGGCAUCGUCUGCUUGUAUCUGGUGCAGUGUGUGACCCACACCAAAGCUUGGUGCCCAGAGAAUUGUCCCAAUUCCUCUGUAAGGUCUGUGGGAGUAGAGCCUUCCUCACAUCCAGAAAACAUGCAUUGCGUGCCCACUACCCACAUGGCCCGCGU